rfam:Rhizobium sp. AC27/96 AS1I6_18, whole genome shotgun sequence.
CGUCAAGAGUCUCGGCGCCAUUUUGGUGAGCUCAUUUUUUUUGCCUUCUGAAAGGUGAAAGACGAUG